AGCGGGAUAGAGCAGAGGUCAGCUCGUCGGGCUCAUAACCCGAAGGUCGCAGGUUCGAAUCCUGUUCCCGCUA
rnacentral:tRNA from 1 species